rnacentral:lncRNA from 1 species
AAUGAAGUUUCUCAGCAGACUAAACCAAUCUAAACCAGCUUUACCAUGAUCCUCCCUCCCUUUCUCUGGUGUUCUCCAUUCCUCUUAUGCUGGCACUGAUGAUUCCCAGUGACUCAAAGCUGGUUCAGAGGACUUAACAGAAAUCUAUUAGGGCUCUCCAUAGAGUUUCAGAGCUAGCACAAGAGAGGGGGUGGAGGAUCCAAAGCAAAAUAUUAAAUUGUGAUUAUGUCUGUGCUCAGACUGGCUUAAUUGGUCACAGAAUUGAAACUUGAGGGUAUGGCAAACACUAACAUGGGGGACACAAGCUGCCAGGGCAGAAAAGAAAACUGGAAACUUCUGAAGCUGGCUUUUACAGCAAUGCCAGCAUCCUGAGUAAUUUCAUCCACAGGGUUAAGAUCAGCACAGAUGGAGCCCAGAGUCACUCAUAACAUAUUGGGUCCACUCUAUCUCCCCAUGUUGUGUGCUGCAGUACAAAAAGCAGAGGACCAGCAGAUUUUCCACAGUCCCUUUAUUCUUGCCCAGUAAAAUUGUAUACAUCAGUGGCAGCUGGAGGGAAUGCAACUUUAGGUCCUGAAAAUACCUCAAUCCAUCAACAAGGAGGUGUGGCAGCUGGUUGCUGCUGUCAUACAGGAAGGAAACUGUAGCCUUCACUUUGAGCCAUGAGAAGCAAGUCAAGAAGGGGACACUCGUGCUUUGACAGUGAACACAGUGGGGUCAAGAUCCAGGGAGAUCUACUGUAUCCCAUUGUUGCACUAUGUGUGCAGUUAGCAGCAGCCUUGCACAAGGCAGCUGAAGGAUACUGACUCAACAAUUAGUUGGCUGCCUGGCUUCUCUUGAGUAAGCAACAGUGUCUAAAGAAAACACUUGGAAGAGCUCAGAAAGAUUACUGUGAAGGAAAGCAUCAUAUGCAAUAUGAUUCUUCUUACCCACUGCAAAAAAGCAAUGAACUCAAACCUUUAGAAAUGCAAGUCAUUUUUCUUUAGAAGGCUGCAGGAAAAGCAGUGUUUUUAGAGGAAAUGUGAAAAAGGAAGCUGGCAAAACUCAUAAUAUGCCCAAUUCUGUUAACACAUCAUAUAAGAAAUAUGAAGAGAAAUUGACUAUCUUACACAGCAAUCAGGUUAUAUUUUAUUAUGUCCUGUACAAAAUAUAGCUAACUGUACUCACUAAAAAAAGUAGUUUUGUUAUGAAAACUUUAUUAGUGCUUUGGCUUGUAUAGACUUCUGGCUGGAACAUCUACCUCAACCCACAGAAUAAUUGGGGUUGGAAGAGACCUCUGGAGAUCCUCCAGGCCAACCUCCUCCUAAUGCAUGUUCCCUAGAGUAGGUUGCAUAGGAAAACAUUGAGGUAGGUCUUGAGUAUCUGCAGAGUAGACUCCACAGACUCUCUAGGCAACUUACUCCAGUAAUCUGUCACUCUCAAAGUAAAAGACUUUUUCUCAUGUUCAUGGUUUGUUAUUUGUGUUUCAGUUUGUGCCCAUUGCUCCUUGUUCUCUUGUGGACCACCACUGAAAAGAAUCUGACCCCAUUUUCAUGGCUCCGGUCUCAUAGUUAUUUGUAGGCAUUGAUGAUAAGAAUCCUCUCCGCCUUCUCUUGUCCAGGCUGAAUAACCCCAGGGCUCUCCACCUUUCCUCAUAAGGGAGAUGCUCCAGGCUUAAAUCAAUCCACUGGACUCUAGAAGUUCCUCAUCUUGAACUGUGUAACACAGAACUGAACAUAAUGAUUGAGAUGUGGCCUCAUCAGGGCACAGUAGAUGGGGAGGAUAACCUCCGUU